CUGAGAUGUAGAGAUGAUGUCUAAAGGAUUGCUAAGCUGGGAUGGGGUCAGCCUAUCAGGGAACGGGAAGAGCAUAUCUAGAUACAGAGUGGCUAACCUAGUGAGGAAGGCUUUAAACUAGGUUCAAUGUGGGCAGGUGACAAAAGCCUGCAGGACCUGAUCAUGUGGUAUGUACAACACUAAUAUAUCAAUGGGAGCUGUGGGCACACAUAGAUCGCUGGCUGCUGGGAAGGAUGCCAGGGAGGACAUCACGGACAAACCCUUCAUAGAAGAUGACAUAUAUAUUCUGUGUAUGAAAAUCCCACUGAUCUCAGUGGGAGUUCGACAUGCAGAUCAUUGAAAUAUGGUAUCCUAUAGAAAAAAGAUAUGUCCAGAAGUUCUCAAUAAUACUUUUAAGAUAGUUAAAUGACCCUUUAUUCAAAAAUGGAAUGGCCUGGUAAUUUCUCA